GCUUAAAGGGGCCGUAGCUUGAUAAUAGGGUCCCUUGAGAAAUCCGCCGGCUUAACUGGCGGGCGUUCAGGGGAAACUUGUUUUCUAGGGACCGGGAGAGGCGAGGGGUACUGCCGGGGUAGGAGUGAAAUCCUGUAAUCCCGGUGGGACCACCUAUGGCGAAGGCAUCUCACCAGAACGGGUCCGACAGUGAGGGACGAAAGCUGGGGGAGCAAACCGGAUUAGAUACCCGGGUAGUCCCAGCUGUAAACUAUGUGCGUUAGGUGUGUCAGUGACCACGUGUCACUGAGGUGCCGAAGGGAAACCGUGAAACGCACCGCCUGGGGAGUACGGUCGCAAGGCUGAAACUUAAAGGAAUUGGCGGGGGAGCACCACAACGGGUGGAGCCUGCGGUUUAAUCGGACUCAACGCCGGGAAUCUCACCGGAUAAGACAGCUGAAUGAUAGUCGGGAUGAAGACUCUACUUGACUAGCUGAGAGGAGGUGCAUGGCCGUCGUCAGUUCGUACUGUGAAGCAUCCUGUUUAGUCAGGCAACGAGCGAGACCCACGCGAGCAGUUGCCAGCUUGACCUUCGGGUUGAUGGGGACACUGCUCGGACCGCCUCUGCUAAAGGGGAGGAAGGACUGGGCAACGGUAGGUCAGCAUGCCCCGAAUUAUCCGGGCUACACGCGGGCUACAAUGGACAGGACAAUGAGUUUCGACACCGAGAGGUGAGGAUAAUCUUCUAACCCUGUCCCAAGUUCGGAUUGCGGGUUGUAACUCACCCGCAUGAAGCUGGAAUCCGUAGUAAUCGCGUUUCAACAUACCGCGGUGAAUAUGUCCCUGCUCCUUGCACUCACCGCC
rnacentral:rRNA from 1 species